rnacentral:rRNA from 1 species
GAUCAUGGCUCAGAUUGAACGCUGGCGGCAGGCCUAACACAUGCAAGUCGAGCGGAUGAAGGGAGCUUGCUCCUGGAUUCAGCGGCGGACGGGUGAGUAAUGCCUAGGAAUCUGCCUGGUAGUGGGGGAUAACGUCCGGAAACGGGCGCUAAUACCGCAUACGUCCUGAGGGAGAAAGUGGGGGAUCUUCGGACCUCACGCUAUCAGAUGAGCCUAGGUCGGAUUAGCUAGUUGGUGGGGUAAAGGCCUACCAAGGCGACGAUCCGUAACUGGUCUGAGAGGAUGAUCAGUCACACUGGAACUGAGACACGGUCCAGACUCCUACGGGCGGCAGCAGUGGGGAAUAUUGGACAAAGGGCGAAAGCCUGAUCCAGCCAUGCCGCGUGUGUGAAGAAGGUCUUCGGAUUGUAAAGCACUUUAAGUUGGGAGGAAGGGCAGUAAGUUAAUACCUUGCUGUUUUGACGUUACCAACAGAAUAAGCACCGGCUAACUUCGUGCCAGCAGCCGCGGUAAUACGAAGGGUGCAAGCGUUAAUCGGAAUUACUGGGCGUAAAGCGCGCGUAGGUGGUUCAGCAAGUUGGAUGUGAAAUCCCCGGGCUCAACCUGGGAACUGCAUCCAAAACUACUGAGCUAGAGUACGGUAGAGGGUGGUGGAAUUUCCUGUGUAGCGGUGAAAUGCGUAGAUAUAGGAAGGAACACCAGUGGCGAAGGCGACCACCUGGACUGAUACUGACACUGAGGCGCGAAAGCGUGGGGAGCAAACAGGAUUAGAUACCCUGGUAGUCCACGCCGUAAACGAUGUCGACUAGCCGUUGGGAUCCUUGAGAUCUUAGUGGCGCAGCUAACGCGAUAAGUCGACCGCCUGGGGAGUACGGCCGCAAGGUUAAAACUCAAAUGAAUUGACGGGGGCCCGCACAAGCGGUGGAGCAUGUGGUUUAAUUCGAAGCAACGCGAAGAACCUUACCUGGCCUUGACAUGCUGAGAACUUUCCAGAGAUGGAUUGGUGCCUUCGGGAACUCAGACACAGGUGCUGCAUGGCGGUCGUCAGCUCGUGUCGUGAGAUGUUGGGUUAAGUCCCGUAACGAGCGCAACCCUUGUCCUUAGUUACCAGCACCUCGGGUGGGCACUCUAAGGAGACUGCCGGUGACAAACCGGAGGAAGGUGGGGAUGACGUCAAGUCAUCAUGGCCCUUACGGCCAGGGCUACACACGUGCUACAAUGGUCGGUACAAAGGGUUGCCAAGCCGCGAGGUGGAGCUAAUCCCAUAAAACCGAUCGUAGUCCGGAUCGCAGUCUGCAACUCGACUGCGUGAAGUCGGAAUCGCUAGUAAUCGUGAAUCAGAAUGUCACGGUGAAUACGUUCCCGGGCCUUGUACACACCGCCCGUCACACCAUGGGAGUGGGUUGCUCCAGAAGUAGCUAGUCUAACCGCAAGGGGGACGGUUACCACGGAGUGAUUCAUGACUGGGGUGAAGUCGUAACAAGGUA